UGUAAACCACUGUCGGAGGGGGAAGACAAAAAAGACGGUACCCUCCAAGAAAGCCCCGGCUAACUACGUGC
rnacentral:rRNA from 1 species